rnacentral:rRNA from 1 species
GCAUAUCAAUAAGCGGAGGAAAAGAAACUAACAAGGAUUCCCUUAGUACGGCGAGUGAAGCGGGAACAGCUCAAGCCUUGAAAUCGGUAUCUGUUUUACAAAUAUCGAAUUGUAGCUUUUGGAAACAGCUUUAAGCCGCUGAUUGCAGUAAAAGUUCUUUUGAAUAAGACAUCAAAGAGGGUGAUAAUCCCGUCCUUGACUGUGAUUUAAGUGGUGAUGUAAACUGUUUUCUGUGAGUCGGGUUGUUUGGGAUUGCAGCCCUAAUUGGGRGGUAAAUUUCUUCCAAAGCUAAAUAUUAGUAAGAGACCGAUAGCAAACAAGUACCGUGAGGGAAAGAUGAAAAGCACUUUGAAAAGAGAGUGAAAAGUACGUGAAAUUGUUGAAAGGGAAGCGGUUAGUAGCCAAGCAUUUUUUUGCGAGUGAAACUUGUUUCGCUUGUAAAAGGUCAACAUCGAUUGCUUUAAGAACCAAAAGGGUAGGACGUGCGGCAUCUCAAUGAAGGAAUGUAGGGAGACGUGUUGCGUGGGUUCGCCUGCGAGUUACGGCACAUUUCUUGUUAUAGCCUUUGAAAGAUGCUUUUAAGCCUUAAUUUUGGUGGCGAUCGAGGAUAAUGGUGUGUUUUGGGAAAAUUUAUUUUCCUGGUGGAAAUUUGGUUUCGAGUUAUUGUGGUGCUCUUGGURGACAGCAUGCUGACUAUCUCGAGUUAUUUGCAGUUCUGGGGGCCAUGUUUACUAAUAAACACCUAGGAUGUUGAUGAAAAGGCACUAACCGGCCCGUCUUGAAASACGGAC